rnacentral:rRNA from 1 species
UACGGGGGUGCGAGCGUUGUCCGGAAUCACUGGGCGUAAAGGGCGCGUAGGUGGUUUGAUAAGGGUGUGGUGAAAGCCCGGGGCUCAACCCCGGGUCUGCCGUGCCGACUGUCAAACUCGAGGGCUGUAGAGGCAGACGGAAUUCCGGGUGUAGCGGUGGAAUGCGUAGAGAUCCGGAGGAAGACCGGUGGCGAAGGCGGUCUGCUGGGCAGUUUCUGACACUGAUGCGCGACAGCGUGGGGAGCAACAGG